GCCUCAGUAGCUCAACGGAUAGAGCAGUCCCGUCCUAAGGGAAAGAUGGGGGUUCGAUUCCCUCUUGGGGCACCA
rnacentral:tRNA from 1 species